GAGGCCUUCAUCAUUGGGUGGGAUGUCUAUCGUCAGAAGGUAGUGGCGCAUUUUUUGAAGAUGGAUCUAAGCUUCUUGGAUGAAAAAGGAGCCAAAGGAGAAGAAGGAAGAGCCAAAGGAAAGGAGGAACCACAGGAAGUGAGGCUCCUCCAUCUGCUGAGGCUGCUGAAGGAUGCUCCGUAGCUAUUCCAAUAUUGGAGGUUGUGCUGGCAUCCGUUCUUGACGAAGCUGUGCCAACUUUAUUGCCAUCGAUGGAGUUGAAGUAGCCAGCUGCAGACAUCCCAAGUUUGUCCAUCGAUGCUCACACCAAGGUCGGAGAUUUCUAAAUUUGUACUUUUUUUGUUUUUCUAUCAUUGUAAUGAAAGUUUCCUGUUAAUGAAAAAAAGUAAUUUUUACCUUUGUGUUAUUUGGCUUGCACUUGUUUGU
rnacentral:lncRNA from 1 species